CAGAUUCUAACUCAAGUAGCAUCAUAGCCUCGAUAGAUUCAUCAUCGUCAUCUAAUAUUGUCAUAAUAGUGGCUAUGGUCGCUGAAGAAAAAAUUCUUUUGUAUAGUGGGUUCGCCAUUAAUGUCUUUCUAAUUGCAACUGUUGUAAAUACCGAAUAAAUCAGCACUUAAUAAUAAAUAACAAAAAUAAAUAAAUACACACGAACAUAUAACUAUAGCAAGAGAUAAUAUAUAUGGCGCAAACAUAUAAUAAUCUUCCAACAGCAGAAAAAUAUGCAAAGCUAAUAAGAGUAGAGAAAACAUAAAUCAAAGCGUCAUACAAUCAAGAGUCACCACCACAAGGUAGAAACUAUGCAAAGCUAAGAUAAAGAAGAACUACCAAUACCAUCACAAGCUAGAAAAUAUGCACGUCCACACGCAAUAUAGGUCGAGGUACGAUAAAGAAGAACUACCAAUACGCC
rnacentral:lncRNA from 1 species